UUUUAAAUGGCAGCUGCUAUGAAUUUGUACACUUGUAGCAGAUCGUUUCAAGACUCUGGUGGUGAACUCAUGGACGCGCUUGUACCUUUUAUCAAAAGCGUUUCCGAUUCUCCUUCUUCUUCUUCUGCAGCGUCUGCGUCUGCGUUUCUUCACCCCUCUGCGUUUUC
rnacentral:sRNA from 1 species